GCCAAUUAGCAGCUGCGUGACACGAGGGUGACCCGCAGCUUGCUCCCUUUUAAUUCACCUGAAUUAAUUACCGACGUUACCGUUAAUAAAGUGUAUCGAGGAAGAAGAGCUUCUCCCUGGAGAUGUUGGAUGUUUCGGGAGGCCGAUGAUUGAUGUGACGUGGAGGAGAGUGAUUGAGCGUUGACCUCUCGACCCUUCUUCUCUUUUCUCUGCUGCAGUUUCCAGGAGCGACCGGAUGUUGCUGCUCGACAGGUAAACCAGAUGAAAAGAGACUCCGGAUUCUUGGCGAUGGAUGGAUGGAUGGAUGGAUGGAUGGAGACCUCCAGGCCUGAGGGUCGUCAAGUGUGAGCUCCCGCUGCGGGACGAGGGCCCCGAGCCCUGGAGCACUCGCCGCCCGGAGGGCGCGCAGGUCGCGCGGCGUUACGCGGCCCGAGCGCUCACCGGCUCCGGUUCAAAGUUGACCCGGUUUCCGGAUCACCAGGACCGAUGUGAUCGGCGCUGCUCGUCGGACUCAUUGACAGACGGGACGUCGGAGUGUCUUGGUGACCUGUAGUGGUUUUGUGUGCAGUGACACAAGAGGAGGACGAGGCCUCGUCUUCCACUGCGUGAUGAGACAUCUCUACUCCGUCAAAGGCUCAUGUUUUAUGGAUUCCUGUCCCGUGUUGUGGUCUCGCGUUGGGGGGGGGGGGGCACACAGGUAAGAGAGUACAUGUUGGAAGUGGCCACGGGGAUCAUGCAUCUUGGAUAGCUGUGCGAGCUGUAAUGGCUUACAUCCUCCCCCCUCGAGGCCGGCCCACCUUUUUAACGUUUUUGCUCACAGAUGGGGCGAAAAGGUUCCCCCCCUCCCUGUCCCCCCUCACCCCCCGCUUCCAUGUGACCUCUGUUGAAUGUAAAAAACUGUGACACAAAGUGGCACAGUUUCAUAUUUGUUUAGCGGUGAUGCGGCGGCGUAAUGGCGCGGCUCCGGUAUCCACAUCACCGCAGGCGGAGCGCCGGGGGACGACCUGGGAUCACCGUGCUGCUGAUUUAUGCAUGAACCAUGUGCUCACUUUGCCGGGACAGACGGAGCCGGCGGUGACAGAGGAGACGUUUCGGACGGGAAGACGUCCUCUCAUUUCAUUCCGCCCCCACAAAGACAUUACGUAUCCUCGCGUUCAUAGCAGAUACCUGCCUGCCGCCGCCGUCUGUCACGUGAAAACACGUUAAACGCCUGAAACUUGUUGCUUUCCUCCCGGCGGCUACGGUCCCCGCAUCGACGUCCUUUUUACGAUAGUUGACAUUAUUUUAAAUAAGCAAUCGGAAAACAUGGGAUCGCUUUGUGCAUCUGUCUGCAGCCGGUCCGCUCAUGACUAAUGCACGAGCGCUCAGCCGAGGCUCCGUCCCAGGCGACCACAACGCGCUCCCACAUGCAGGCCGCACAAACACGUGGCGUUAAUACUGAGCAUGUGAUGUUUGUCACCGCCC
ensembl:lncRNA